UACAGAGACUGCAAGCGUUAUUCGGAUUCACUGGGCGUAAAGGGUGCGCAGGCGGCCAAGUGUGUGAAGUGUGAAAGCCCGGGGCUUAACCCCGGAAUUGCACCUCAAACUACUUGGCUAGAGCAUUGGAGAGGGUAGCAGAAUUCACGGUGUAGCAGUGAAAUGCGUAGAUAUCGUGAGGAAUACCAGAGGCGAAGGCGGCUACCUGGACAAUUGCUGACGCUCAUGCACGAAAGCGUGGGGAGCAAACAGG
rnacentral:rRNA from 1 species